AGCUUUGUGCAGUGGCAGUAUAGUAGCCAAUGAGGUUUAUCUGAGGCGAGAUUAUUGCUAAUUGAAAACUUUUUCCAAUACCCCGCCAUGACGACUUGAAAUAUAGUUGGCAUUGGCAAUUUUUGACAGUCACUACAGAGA
rnacentral:snRNA from 1 species